rnacentral:rRNA from 2 species
AGAUUAAACUGAAGAGUUUGAUCCUGGCUCAGAUUGAACGCUGGCGGCAUGCCUUACACAUGCAAGUCGAACGGCAGCGCGGGGCAACCUGGCGGCGAGUGGCGAACGGGUGAG